rnacentral:rRNA from 1 species
GACAACGCUGGCGGCGUGCCUGACACAUGCAAGUCGGACGGUUCUUGUAUCUUCAAGCUUGCUUGCAGGUGCAAGGAUAGUGGCGGACGGGUGAGUAACGCGUGAACAUCUACCCAUUGGAGGGGGACAACCCGUCGAAAGGCGGGCUAAUACCGCGUAAGCCGCGAGGUGAGAGGCUGCCUAUUGGUGGCCGCCGAUGGAUGGGUUCGCGUCCUAUCAGCUGGUUGGUGGGGUAACGGCCUACCAAGGCGAAGACGGGUAGCCGGUCUGAGAGGAUGGCCGGCCACACUGGAACUGAGACACGGUCCAGACUCCUACGGGAGGCAGCAGUGGGGAAUAUUGGGCAAUGGGGGAGACCCUGACCCAGCGACGCCGCGUGAGGGAUGAAGGUUUUCGGAUCGUAAACCUCUGUUGUACGGGAAGAAGGAUGUGACGGUACCGUACGAGAAAGCCCCGGCAAACUACGUG